rnacentral:rRNA from 1 species
UACGUAGGGUGCAAGCGUUAAUCGGAAUUACUGGGCGUAAAGCGUGCGCAGGCGGUUUUGUAAGUCUGUCGUGAAAUCCCCGGGCUCAACCUGGGAAUUGCGAUGGAGACUGCAAGGCUAGAAUCUGGCAGAGGGGGGGGUAGAAUUCCACGUGUAGCAGUGAAAUGCGUAGAGAUGUGGAGGAACACCGAUGGCGAAGGCAGCCCCCUGGGUCAGAUUGACGCUCAUGCACGAAAGCGUGG